UGGGCUGUGGCUCAGCGGCAGAGCGCUUGCCUAGCAUGUGUGAGGCACUGCGUUCGAUUCUCAGCACCACAC
rnacentral:tRNA from 1 species